rfam:Pseudomonas alkylphenolica strain KL28 chromosome, complete genome.
UAGUGAUGCCGGGCCCCUCUGACGGCUGCCAAGCCGCCAUGUCGGAGUCACUGU